AAGAUGACCAAGAUUCAUCAAUAGAUGUGUCCUGUCUUCUGAAAACCUUCGCAGCACUCAUCCUGCAGGAGCCGAGGAAGGGCCUGGAUCCUGUCCUACAGAGGGGAACACCUCCUAUGGCCAUAAAUUUUUAUAUUCCUACCCAUAUCUGGUCAGUUGUCAGAAGGUGCCAGAGCUGCUAUGUAAAAGAACCCUCUGCUCCAUCAUUGAAAUGUGGCUGUACGUCUAUCCAGAAUAUUUUUGAGGACCCAAGACUUGGACAACCUGAAAUACCUUAGGGCCUUCCUGUUGAUCAUUAUGCCUGAAUCAGAGGGGACCUUCCAUGUCCUUCCCCAGCUGUAGAACACAGAUCCUCUCUAGCACCACCCCAAGUGAUGUAAUUGCCUCCAACAGCCAUGGCCUAAUUUACCUGCUUACAUUUUGGGGAGCAUAUUAUCACAUUCCCUGUGAAGGAGGAGGAAUAGCCCUGAAAACCUAAGUUGGCCCUACACCAGCAAUGACCACACAGGACCAUGAGUGGCCACUGUAAACCUUCAGGAAGAGGAGACAGCUUAGCUGCCACUAAGCAAAUCAUGGCUCACAAUCCUCUUAUUCUCCAUGACACACUAUUGAAGUUAGAACCAUUAAUAAAUCAGUAAUGGU